UACGUAGGGUCCGAGCGUUGUCCGGAAUUACUGGGCGUAAAGAGCUCGUAGGUGGUUUGUCGCGUUGUUCGUGAAAACUCACAGCUCAACUGUGGGCGUGCGGGCGAUACGGGCAGACUUGAGUACUGCAGGGGAGACUGGAAUUCCUGGUGUAGCGGUGGAAUGCGCAGAUAGUCAGGAGGAACACCGGUGGCGAAGGCGGGUCUCUGGGCGAGUGAACU
rnacentral:rRNA from 1 species